rnacentral:rRNA from 1 species
CCUACGGGCGGCAGCAGUGAGGAAUAUUGGUCAAUGGACGAGAGUCUGAACCAGCCAAGUAGCGUGAAGGAUGACUGCCCUAUGGGUUGUAAACUUCUUUUAUAUGGGAAUAAAACGUUCCACGUGUGGGAUUUUGUAUGUACCAUAUGAAUAAGGAUCGGCUAACUCCGUGCCAGCAGCCGCGGUAAUACGGCGGAUCCGAGCGUUAUCCGGAUUUAUUGGGUUUAAAGGGAGCGUAGGUGGAUUGUUAAGUCAGUUGUGAAAGUUUGCGGCUCAACCGUAAAAUUGCAGUUGAAACUGGCAGUCUUGAGUACAGUAGAGGUGGGCGGAAUUCGUGGUGUAGCGGUGAAAUGCUUAGAUAUCACGAAGAACUCCGAUUGCGAAGGCAGUUCACUGGACUGCAACUGACACUGAGGCUCGAAAGUGUGGGUAUCAAACAGGAUUAGAUACCCCUGUAGUC